GCCAGCGUUCACUUGAUUAGAUCUCCAUUCUUGUGGUUCCCAGCCAGUGCCAUCCGGGGAGAGCCUGAAUCAGAGAGGCCGCAGCCAGCGCAGGCAGCACCUGUGUUUACCUGGCUCCACCGCCCGUUUAGAGCGAGCGGCGGCGAGGGGGGAGGCAGGAGGGGGCUCGCCCCGCGCCCGGGGAGGCCGGCUGCUGAGCCCGGGCGCUCCUCUGCCUCCAUCGGCGGGGAGGCCGUCUGCGCCUCGCCGGAAGCGCUGGCAACCAGGUGGAAGUAGAGGCAUCAUUCAUCGUGGGUAUGAGGGGUGCUCUUUUGUCUUGGAAAAAAAUUCUUACUUAGAGCAUUUUGAUUACGUAAAAAUAAAGCCCAAAGUCAAAAAAUUCAAAUCUGGAUUGGAAAACAUGAGAGUAUGAAGAGUAAACUGCUUUGUAUGAUUUUCUCAAAGGUGAUCAUCACUGUGGACUGGGGUGCCUCUCUGGAAAAAGAAGGAUUUCCUUCACUCUCUAGAGCCAGUGAAGACCUAAUGGCCUGGGUUCCGGGCAGGAGGGACCUGGUCAAAGGCCGUGGUGUGUAAAGCUGGUUCCUGAAAUAUGGUGUCAGGACUGAGCUUAAAGGAAGGUUGAAAGAUUGAGAUGAUGAUAAGAGACCUCUUCUUGAGAGAUUGACCAGUGAACUCCCGAGAUACUUUUCCCUUCCUGCAGAGUCAUUCUCUUCUGCUAUCCACAAACCAUUGGUAAAGUUUUGUAAACGAUAUGGCCUGGUCUUAGAAGUGCUUGGAAAAUGAACUGUGUCUGCACAGAGACUUGAGCAAAGUGCAGAGAUUCCCAGCAGCCUGGAGAAGUAGUUGUGAAACUCUCGGAGUCCACCCACAGAGAAGCCUAGAACAUUCAGCAGACAGAGAGGCGGCCCAUGAGAGCCCAUUAAAGGCUGGACUUCUUGCUGGUUUAGGGGUGGAAAGGGGGCUUGUAGGUUGUUACUAGGUAUUAAAUAGAAGGUAACCCCUGGAGCCUGGAGAAUUUGAGAUAUCUCAGGGUCGAUCUCAUGUGAGACCAUGAAAGUCCAGAUUUGGGGUUUUAUAAAUUAAAAACUGAGAGAUGCACCACUCACUGGAAAUCCUCAGAGAUGACCACUACCUACUUGUGAUUAGCUGUAACUAGCUGUGAAACCCAGAGCAAGUCAGGUCAAUUCUCUGAGCCUCAGUUUCAUCACCUACAAAGUGAAAGGAAUUAGAUUGGAUCAUCUCUAAAAUAACGAUUAGAUGAAAAGUUUUGCAAUUCUGUCUCCCUGCCCCCUCACCUUGAUGCCCAAUAAAAUGGGAAAGCUAAAGAAAAAAAA
rnacentral:lncRNA from 1 species